rnacentral:pre_miRNA from 1 species
AUAAUACUCCCUCCAUCCCAAAUUACUUGUCGCAAAAAUGGAUAAAAAUGGAUGUAUCUAGAACUAAAGUACGUUUAGAUACAUCCAUUCCCGCGACAAGUAAUUCCGAACGGAGGGAGUAUAAU